ensembl:lncRNA
CUGAUGUACAUGUGGUUUCAGCAGGUAAUGAAAUGCUCUCUGUGAAUUAUUUGCAAUUUUAUGGCAUCAAAGAUAAUACCUGGCAAAGGACUGAAGCCUAAUCUGAGAGGUGAGACGGACAAUUGCCUUGCUGUCCAGCUGAAAUGAGAGACAAUUUCACCUGCAGUUUCACACGCUUUUAUCUAAAUAAGGCCUAAAUGGUAAAAUGUAUCCACAUGGCUCUAGUUCUAAGCAUACAAAACUCUAUGAAUGUGAAUAGCAAAGAAACACUCAAAUUUGGUGAAGUCAAAGUUUUCCUCUAUUGUACUGAGACGCAAGACACCACAAUAGGCCUAAUGGUAGUUGAAGUGUAGCAAUGGUUGGGGUAUACAACCAGCUGAUACCAGCCUUCCUUUUCUAGGGACCUGAAAUUUAUAGUUGAAGGCAGUCAGAUGUGAAAAUAUAAAUGAACUGCCAGUCCAGAGAAAAUCAGGCCCAGACUAACAAAAGAAUUUAUGUUAUUUUAAAAUAAUUCUGUACUAUAUCAGUCUUAUAGCACAGAGUUCAGCUAAAAUAUAUUCAGAAAGGAAAUCAGCAAAUCAUUCUCUCUCUUUCAAGUGCUACUAAGAGCGUCAACAUUUAAAAAAAAAUGAAAAAAAAAAAACCAACCUUAGGGGUUGGAAGGGACCCCCAUAGAUCUUCUAGAUCCAACCUACCUACCUACUACAGCAGGUUCCCUACAGUAGGUUGCAUAGGAAAGCAUUCAGGUGCGUUUUGAGUAUCUCCAGCUCAUAAAAAUUUGCAUAGCCAUCCAGAACAUGGCUUGUUCUUUGUGUCACUGUUGUCACUGCUGAUAUGUAUCACCCACACCUCACUGUGCUCACAUCCACUACUUGGUCGCCAUGAAAGCUCAGCAAGUGUCGAUGAACAUCAGUGGGUGCCAUUCUUUUCAUAUGGAGGAAUUCAGUGUUACAUCUUUGCUUCAUACGAACUUCCAUGUGAGAUGCCUUUUUGUCAGAUUGCCCCUCUCCUGCCACCUGCCAUACGGCAACAAAAUGUAGCAAAAUAUUGGCAGAAAGGUUAAAUCUCUAAUGCCAUACCAGCAACAUCCACCUCUGAUGAUGUGGGCCAACAUUAUUCUACAGGAGGCACUACUUUUAUGAACUUCCAAAUCUUUCAAAGUUGGCAUCAAUGCUAACUAUAUACCACAUCUGAUCUUUUGUGACCUAUGCAUUUAUUUUUUUUUAAUGAGAAAACGGAGACCCCUCUACCACUUUUCUGGAAAUAAACUAAUAGCAAUUGCAAUCUAAUUUGGAAGCCUGCACUUUCAAAAUGUGCUCUUCUCCAGCUGUUAUCUUCUCCAAGGAUUUUGAGCUAGAAUGGGAAGUAAGCAUUGUAUCUCUAUGGGUAAUGCAUUUGAGAUCUACAGAUUUCCAGAUAUUUCCAGAUAGUGUUUUCCUCUACAGCUUGCAGGAAAAACAGGGUCCUGGAAUCUGUCAAGAGAUGUGCUUUUAAGGAACAUUGUUUCAGAUGUAUCAGUAUUUUCCCCCAGACAUCAUUUUGUCUGAAAAGUCCCAUGCAACAUCAUUGUUGAUGAUCCCAUCACAUCAUAUUCCCUGGUGUCCUUAGUUCUGGUACUCUGUUCUGGUUCACAAGGUACUGACCGCUGUCACCUCUGUUGGUGAUUAGUCGGGGCAAAUUUUCUGAGAGAGAAAGUGCCAUAAUGUAAUUUACUAUCUGACAGAAAAUUGAUCAUAAAAACACAAUACAGUUUUUGCUAUGGGUGUAUUCUCCAUUUGAGAAUGCGCAUGUCUGACUACAGAGACUCUAUCUGGACUUUCUAUUGUGUGGAGGCUCAUACCAUAUGUUAUCUAUACAUCCUGAAAACUCUGAUAUUUGGGAAAAUGUAUCACUUCUUAUCAGCUAUCAUGAGAAAACAUAUAAAUAUUACUGAUUUCACAAUAAUUGUGCAUCAUUUAAAUUUUGGGGAUCAUUGCCAAUUUGUUUUGCAAUAGCUUGAAUCACUGUGUUUGAAUGGUAUGCUGAUUUAUUUUAAUGGGAACAGGUCUGUCUCCUGAACUCAUGGGGAGAUGACGUUUGACAGCUGUGACAUUCAUGGGCAACGCAUUUGAAAAAGAAGGCAUAAAUAUUCAGAGACAUAUUAGAAUGCUGUUCAAUGUUUGACACCAAAGCAAGACCUGAUGCCACAGGGAUCAUCAGAAUCUAGUAAACAGAAAUAUCUAAGAAGAGCAGAUGCACAUUGUGUCUUCUAGGCAUCCUCUCAGUGGCAUGGUUGAAAUCCAGAUUCUGAUCACACAAGAUUCAGUGUCACAGAUACUUGAAUGUUUCACUGUCCUUAACACUGCCUGACUUUUACAUGGUUCCUUAAAAAAGAACGAGCACACCACUGCACUUUUGUGGGGGCCUCCCCCUCAGGGCCCUGCCCAGGCCGGAGUCUGAUGCAGCUCUUGCCUCUGCUCCUACACCAGCCUUCAGCCCUGCCAGUAACCUGCCUUCAGGAUGGGCUUCCCGGACUCCUAUAGAACUCAGUCUUAUCUUCUGCUCCUGUGUAGAGGCUGUGAAUGGACCCUGGACCUGGUUUAUCCCCUCAUUAGGCCAAGGUCUGCUUGUUCCUGUUAUCAACCCUACCUCUGCUCUAUGUGUUAGGGCAUAGCCCAUGAGAUGUCACCUUUGGCUCCCAACUCUGUGUCCUUCACUGCUCUGUAGCAAUCACUCUGAAUGGGAAUGGAGGCAGAGAGAGAAAAAACUAUGUAAUUCCAUGAAUGAGACUGUUCAGCAGUACUAGCACGCAACUAAACUGAAUAACAGUACUUUUCAUGUACAUCUUUACAGCUAGGCUGCAGAAAUCACUACCAGAAGUAACUGUAAAAAAAAAAAAAAUAAAUUUGGGGGGGGGGGGACAUUUGUAUGGGCAAUAAGAUUAUGUAGCUGUAUGGUCACUAUUCUCAAAAAGGAAAAGAAAAAAGUAAGAAAGAAAAAGCAGUGUUAAAUGCAAUUAUUAAGGGUUUAACACAAUUUCUGUAUGAGAUCUUAAAUUCUUCUGCAGCAUAAAGUACUUCUUUUAUAUGGAAGAUAAAAUACUGAAAAUUGCUUCCUGGAAUGAACAAGCUCCAAUUCUGUGUUGUUUUAACAAUUACUGUGUCCGGUGUAUUUCUGUAUAUGCCUUUCUACCAAGAACAUAAUGAAGGCAAAUUGCUUUUUCAGUUAUGGCUGAAUAAUUCAAAAUAAAGUCCCAGGUUACAGCACUAACCUUUCAUCAGGUUAACCCGUGCUCCUUAGUACAACAGCUAUGGUGUCACAUUCUACUCCACAUACACUAAUAUUGCAGGUAAAAUAAUACUAAUAAUCCUAGGUAGAUGCAUUUGGACCUUUGAAUUUGCGCAUUAGAUUUUGGCUGGAGAUGCUUUCCAAGUCCAAAUUUUCCUGAACAUAAAAUAAAUCUAUUUGCCCAUGUUUUACUUCUCUAGAAGCAGAGGGAACAGGUAGAAGUCCUUGGGAAUAAGCCCAUAUGUUAUAUUCUGGUACAGGAUGGAGGCUAAUAAUACUUUUUAGCAUCCAAUUAUCUCAUCCAGGCUUCUUAUUCUUUAAGCAACAUAGUCACUCUGAAGUUUGAAAGCUCUAAAAUAAGAAUGAAAAUAAAUUGUUUCUGAAGUGUUAAGUCCUUAUUUCUAUUAUGCUUAUAAAUUUACAAAGAAUUUCAGAAUGAGCACCAUGUAUAAAUAUUGUUUUCUUCAGUAGGCUGAGAUCAAUUCUAGUUCACAAGCUAUACUGACCACACAGGGGACAUAUGAAAGUUCUUCCCUUGUGCUGCAAGUAUCUCACAAGUUUUUGUGUUUUGUCAAAACAAUUGUGUUGCUGUGUCAUUCCGAGAAAUGGUCUAGCAAGAAUUAUGGCUGUCAAAAAAUUAAGGGCACAUCUACCCAGGCACAAUUGAGAGAUCUGUUAAUCAUGAUAUUGCUAGUAUUAGGGAUGAAAUCCUGACCCUCUUGAACCCAACAGAAUAGUUUUCAUCAUCAGGGAUAGAUUUAUUCUGAGUUGUUUAUGCAUUACUGCCUAUAUGAAUCUCAUUGAAAGAUGGGCAUUUUUUUUUAAUGCUGUUUCUUAAAAUCCGUGAACAAAAGCCUGUGAAGUCCAUGGAGUCGGACUUAAAAACUGAUCAAUUCUUUUAACUCGUUUACUCAUCCUGUAAAAUGUUACUUUGAAAUCUUUGAAAAUAAGCUCCAAAAACCAACACUGCUCCUACAUUAUUUUUUACCACAUGCAUUUCCUAUGUUCUGAUCUUUCUCUCAGUGUUCUAAAAGAUGAAACGUCUUCCAGUGGAGCUGGUAACUUUACACCACUGCCAAAAUACUAAGCACAAUUGGCCUUGCUGGAAUUAAAAUUACCAAAAUUAACUAUUUUUUAAAAAAAGGAAAAUAAAAAUAUUGUUUUUGCACUUAUAUGUAAAUAAAAGGUUCCUAUUUUUCUCCUGCUUGUAUAAGCCACAACAUGGAGAAAAUUUUAGAGAGAAUUCAGAUAGAUAAUUAUACAAGUCUGUUGUUUUUGUUUUUUUUCCAAAAAGUAAUAGCAACAAAUUAAAAAAUCACCUUCAUAAAAGAGCAUGUAUAAAGGUCAAAUUAUUAAGUAAUGAUUUCUUUUUCUUUUUUUUGUGAGACUUGGUAUAUAUAAAGUUUAAUUUAUGAACAGAGACACAUAACUAUUUUAAUAUAUUGUCCUGUCCAUUGAUCCAAAAUAUAUAAAGAUAGUUAAUUAUUGACAAGGAAAUUUUUCUCUUUAUGUCUACAGAGAGAAAUCUACAACAGCAAUAAAACUUAGUUGUUAGUAUUAUUUUUGCAGAACAUAAGAAUAAUGCUAUUGAUUGACCACCUACUCUUCCAAUUGCAUAAAAUAAUCUUAAAUUCCUCUUUAAAUUGUUUACUCAUUUAAACAGCUGUUGACUUUCAUUGCUUUUCAACAUUAAACAACAGUGAUUGCUUUUCAACAAUAAACUCUGGAGACUUCCAAGUAGAGUGCAGUGCAUAUAUACCUCUAUUAGUGUUCAUCACUAUCACUUUAUCACUUAUGUACAGUAAUAACAGUUAAUAUUUAUGUUGGGGUUGUGCCUAGAGGAAUCAGUCAGAUGAUGGCAACAGUAAAAUAAUAUAGAUAGUAAGUACAUAGCUGUUACUCAAACAGAGUGCAACACAAAUAACAUUCAGAAAUCUGUUGUUUUCAUGAUACCUCUAUGCACUUUGUGACAGUAAAAGAACAGAAUUAACAUGUAUUUUGCAGUGCAUAGAACAGAGAUGUAAUUAUCUUUUCUGUCAAGUUUCAGAAUAUGCUUACAAUUGUCAAAAGGCAACAUACUUUGGGAUUUUGUGUUGCUCAGAAGAAAACCUGAUAGUGUUUGCAGCAGAUUUCAUUUGUAUUCAAGGAAAAAUAAAGAAAAUCAAAGAAUGAGCCCAUGUGCUUAAUUUAGACAAAAAGAACCAACCAACCAACCAAACAAAAAAACCUGCAUCUACUAAAUCACUACAUCUUAAUGCUACAUAACCUGCAUUUAAUGGAAGAAAAUAAAUGAGAGAAGAAUUAUUUCCUGUUAUUCCAUUAUGUUGUAAUUUUAGACAAUGUUAUUACGAGCUUUGAAAACAAAAUUGUAAAACAUUGUUUUAUACACAGUGAAUACAUUUAUAAGUGAAAAUAUUACUAAAAGGAACUAUUGCUUUGAAAUAAAACAAAUUUAAAUUCCCCUUGCCAUUUUUUUUGUCUCAAGGUUUUCCUAGAACUGAAGAUUGACUAGUUACAAUUCUAUUUCAUCUUUCUGAUACUAUUAUUGUAAUUGCUUUUAAUAUACUUCCCACUGGCAUAUUCCCUAAUUUAGAACUUUUUCUGUUCGGUAAAGCCACAGUCGUGAUCAUAGUUCUGCCUUUCCUUACAUAUUGUCUGUACAUUUUGCAAAUGUAAUUUCUUAAUUGCAAAUGUAAUCCUUAAAUCAGAAUCUAUUUCAUCUUAAUAUUUUUUCAGCUUUCAUAUGCAUUGUUGUCUCAUGUCAGUAGAAAACACCGAUGUUAAAUGUUUCAAUUACUCUACUUCACUAUUUUUUGUACUUCAGAUGGCAGUCGUAUCUUACUAGACUAAAAGUAUUCUUGUUUUCAAGGACUUUCAAGAUCCAAUAUUUUCCCCCUUUUUUUCUACUGCAGAUCACCAAAACUAUUACUGUAUUUAUGCAGCGCCUUCUAAGAACUUUAGUUUUCCUAAAUGUUCUGUUAAAUAAUCUUCUGUAUGAUAUAACAAGACCGAGUAACAGCUGGAAAUAAGUUGCAACAGAAAUUAUUUCCUUAGUUAAUAGCAGAAGAACCUUAAACAGAAUAACUCAGAUAUUUCCUCUUCCUUGUUUGACAGUCAUAUUCAUUUGGGUGCCUUUCUUGUGUAUGUAAACACAACCAACCAGCUACAAGAAUGUUAAGGUUUAUAAAUGUAGAAAGAAAAUCAUAUAUUUUAGUAAAAUAGUAAUCGUCCACCUGUGAUGAAUGUUUUGCCUUUCUAGAUCUUUAUUCUAUAUUAUUCGUGUCUGUGAUCAAGUUUGUUAUUGACGGAACUAUAAGGAAGUAUUGAGACAACAUAAGCUGCAGAAGAAAGAUUGGAUUCUUUCCACACUAAUGUCUGAUUAUGUGGUAUGAUGUCAAGAAUAAGUUUUCUAACUAGUGCUUCUGGCCAAUUUUCUUCUCUCAAAAAUAUUUAAGAAUAACAGAACAGUUUUCAGAAAACAAUAUUUUAUAAAAUCAAAACCCUACUCAUUGUAGAGUUUUGGUAGCUUCUAGAGACUUUCAGAUAUGACAAGAAAUUCCCUACAUUCAUUAUUAGCAGGCUGUAACACAGUGAUAGAAUGUACUGAACUGCCAGAACAGCUGAGCUACAAAGUUCAUGAGGAACACUACCGGCCUGAAGGCCUACUACUGGUAGCUGCACAGAACAUAGUACUGGCACUAUAUUAUUUCUUUACAGCUGUGGGAGCUGGAAUCAAUUAUACUUAUAGCCUGACUGCCUUUCUGUUAAACCAGCAUUAUCAACUGUACAUCCUCAACUGCUAUCAGCUUUCAGGCAUGACUUUCAAAUGAUUGGUUUCAUCAGUUUUGCUCGAAGACCAGUGUUGCUUACUUGUACAUUCUGGGAGCGGGAAGAGAUCAUUUGGGGUGGCGAAAGAGACGAGUUAGGUUCACUUUUGCUUGUAUGGAUCAUCUUUUUAUGAGCUAUCAUAAGAUAAGUAGAAAAGAAGUGGUAGGAGUCACAAAACAUUGUGUUCAGGUGUAACAAUUAAUUAUCCAUAUGUGCUAUUCCUGCAAAUUUUAUAGUAUGAAUGCAAUGGAACCCAACUGAUGUGAGAAGAUUGUGUUUAUAUCUGUCACAUCACUCCUAGCUAUUAGGACAUCUUAUUCAAAAGAGACACAAGCUCUGGAAGGAUUCUCAUCCCCUGAAUAUAUCUAUCUAAUGUUUUUUUGUUGUUGUUUGUUUGUUUGUUUUUAAUGAAAAUGUCUCCAACUUUAUGCUAACUACUAAAGAUUAAGUACUAUUCUAGCCAUCAAGAUAAGCAUGAGUAGCUUGCAGUGACAUUAUAG